AUUGAACGCUGGCGGCAGGCCUAACACAUGCAAGUCGAGCGGAUGAAGGGAGCUUGCUCCUGGAUUCAGCGGCGGACGGGUGAGUAAUGCCUAGGGAUCUGCCUGGUAGUGGGGGAUAACGUCCGGAAACGGGCGCUAAUACCGCAUACGUCCUGAGGGAGAAAGUGGGGGAUCUUCGGACCUCACGCUAUCAGAUGAGCCUAGGUCGGAUUAGCUAGUUGGUGGGGUAAAGGCCUACCAAGGCGACGAUCCGUAACUGGUCUGAGAGGAUGAUCAGGCACACUGGCACUGAGACACGGUCCAGACUCCUACGGGAGGCAGCAGUCGGGAAUAUUGGACGAUGGGCGAAAGCCUGAUCUAGCCAUGCCGCGUGUGUGAAGAAGGUCUUCGGAUUGUAAAGCACUUUAAGUUGGGAGUAAGGGCAGUAAGUUAAUACCUUGCUGUUUUGACGUUACCAACACAAUAAGCACCGGCUAACUUCGUG
rnacentral:rRNA from 1 species